GAUUAGCUAGUUGGUAGGGUAAUGGCCUACCAAGGCGACGAUCCGUAGCUGGUCUGAGAGGACGAUCAGCCACACUGGGACUGAGACACGGCCCAGACUCCUACGGGAGGCAGCAGUGGGGAAUAUUGGACAAUGGGGGGAACCCUGAUCCAGCAAUGCCGCGUGUGUGAAGAAGGCCUUCGGGUUGUAAAGCACUUUCAGUGGGGAAGAAAUUCUCAAGUCUAAUACCCUUGAGCGUUGACGUUACCCACAGAAGAAGCACUGGCUAACUCUGUGCCAGCAGCCGCGGUAAUACAGAGAGUGCAAGCGUUAAUCGGAAUCACUGGGCGUAAAGCGCGCGUAGGUGGAUAUUUAAGUCGGAUGUGAAAGCCCUAGGCUUAACCUGGGAAUUACAUCCGAUACUAGGUAUCUCGAGUAUGAUAGAGGGAAGUGGAAUUUCCGGUGUAGCGGUGAAAUGCGUAGAUAUCGGAAAGAACAUCAGUGGCGAAGGCGGCUUCCUGGAGCAAUACUGACACUGAGGCGCGAAAGCGUGGGGAGCAAACAGGAUUAGAGACCCUGGUAGUCCACGCUGUCAACGAUGAGAACUAGCUGUUGGAAAGUUUACUUUCUAGUAGCAAAGUGCUAACGCGUUAAGUUCUCCGCCUGGGGAGUACGGC
rnacentral:rRNA from 1 species